UGCCCCAUGGCUGAGUUGGUUACAGCGUCCGACUGUUACUCCUAGUGGGGUGUGAAUAGAUGAUCGGAAGGUCGUGAGUUCGAGCCUCACUGGGGCAG